UACGUAGGGUGCAAGCGUUGUCCGGAAUUAUUGGGCGUAAAGAGCUCGUAGGCGGUCUGUUGCGUCGCCUGUGAAAACCCGGGGCUCAACCCCGGGCCUGCAGCCGAUACGGGCAGACUAGAGUUCGGCAGGGGAGACUGGAAUUCCUGGUGUAGCGGUGAAAUGCGCAGAUAUCAGGAGGAACACCGGUGGCGAAGGCGGGUCUCUGGGCCGAUACUGACGCUGAGGAGCGAAAGCGUGGGGAGCGAACAGG
rnacentral:rRNA from 1 species